GUCGGGAAUUUUGGGCAAUGGGCGAAAGCCUGACCCAGCAACGCCGCGUGAGGGAUGAAGGCCUUCGGGUCGUAAACCUCUGUCGGAAGGGAAGAACGAUCGCAGGGUGAACAAUCCUGGGGUCUGACGGUACCUUCAAAGGAAGCGCCGGCUAACUCCGUGCCAGCAGCCGCGGUAAUACGGAGGGCGCAAGCGUUGUUCGGAAUCAUUGGGCGUAAAGCGCGUGUAGGCGGCUUGGCAAGUCGGAUGUGAAAUCCCGGGGCUCAACCCCGGAACUGCAUUCGAAACUGCCUCGCUAGAGUCCCGGAGAGGAGGGCGGAAUUCCCGGUGUAGAGGUGAAAUUCGUAGAUAUCGGGAGGAACACCAGUGGCGAAGGCGGCCCUCUGGACGGUGACUGACGCUGAGAUGCGAAAGCGUGGGGAGCAAACAGGAUUAGAAACCCGAGUAGUCC
rnacentral:rRNA from 1 species